AUGAAGUCAGAAUGCACCUGGGGCUUCUCCUCAGCUUGUUUUUCUUUCCAGUGGCUUAUCUUCUUUAAAAGGAAAGAAAAAUUCUAAUUGGAUUGGUUGGAUCCCAGGUGGGAAGGCCAGGUGUACCUGUGCAUAGUCACUGCGCAAUCCCAGGCGAACGUGUGGGGCCCAGCACCUGCCACCACGUGAGCGCACAGCCUGGAACCUCUGUGAGCAAGAGGCAGCCUUUGCCACACACCACCCCUGCUGGUGUGUGGAGACCUCGGACUUCCAGCCUCCAGAACUGUGAGAAGUAAGUUUCUGUUGUUCAUGAGCCCCUCAGUCUGCAGUAUUUUGUUAUAGCAGCCCAAACGGACUGAGACCAUUGCACAUGUCUGUGAAUACAUUAAA